rnacentral:rRNA from 1 species
UACAGAGACCUCAAGCGUUAUCCGGAAUCAUUGGGCGUAAAGCGUACCGAUAGGUGGUUUUACAAGUCAGAAGUGAAAUUCCAAAGCUCAACUUUGGGUCUGUCUUUUGAAACUGUAAAACUAGAAGGGCAAAGAGGAAGCUGGAACAAACGGUGUAGUAGUGAAAUGCGUUGAUAUCGUUUGGAACACCAAUAGCGUAGGCAGGCUUCUGGGUGCCACUUGACACUGCUAGGACGAAAGCGUGGGGAGCGAAUGGG